rnacentral:rRNA from 1 species
UGGGGAAUUUUGCACAAUGGGGGAAACCCUGAUGCAGCGACGCCGCUUGAUUUAGAAGGCCUUCGGGUUGUAAAAAUCUUUUCUAUGGGAAGAAAAUGACAGUACCAUAGGAAUAAGGACCGGCUAAUUACGUGCCAGCAGCCGCGGUAAUACGUAAGGUCCGAGCGUUGUCCGGAAUCAUUGGGCGUAAAGGGUACGUAGGCGGGUAAGCAAGUUAGAAGUGAAAUCCUAUAGCUCAACUAUAGUAAGCUUUUAAAACUGCUCAUCUUGAGGUAUGGAAGGGAAAGUGGAAUUCCUAGUGUAGCGGUGAAAUGAGCAGAUAUUAGGAGGAAUACCGGUGGCGAAGGCGACUUUCUGGCCAUAACCUGACGCUGAGGUACGAAAGCGUGGGUAGCAAACAGG